CUGACUUGAGAAGGAACUAGAGUCCCAGACACAAGCUUGACAUUCACCUUCCAGCACCAUGACUGAGGCUGCCGAGUCAGGUGUGGAAGAGUGCAAAAGGGCUGUCUGUGUGCUGGAGAUCUGAAGGAUCCAGUCAAAGUUCAAAGGCCUGGAGCUCUCUGUAGCGUCCUGUGUGAGUCCAUAUCAGAGGCUGAAGGGUCUGUGCUGGAAGCUAGGAAUAGUGGCAGAAGCAAGUGAGAAGAGGACCGUGCAGUGUGAGGAAGAAAUCCAUCCGUCUUCAGAUCCUGGCAUGUUAGGAUUGCCACCACACCCUGCAUAACCCAGGGCAUCCUGAUGGGUGUUUGCCAAUGCC
rnacentral:lncRNA from 1 species